rnacentral:rRNA from 1 species
UACGUAGGGGGCAAGCGUUGUCCGGAUUCAUUGGGCGUAAGGAGCGUGUAGGCGGCCAGGUAGGUCGGUUGUGAAAACUGGAGGCUCAACCUUCAGACGUCGACCGAAACCAUCUGGCUAGAGUCCGGGAGAGGAGAGUGGAAUUCCUGGUGUAGCGGUGAAAUGCGCAGAUAUCAGGAAGAACACCCGUGGCGAAAGCGGCUCUCUGGAACGGUACUGACGCUGAGACGCGAAAGCGUGGGGAGCGAACAGG